AUCUUGAUAGCUCAGUUGGUUAAGGAGCAGGUCUCAUGCGUACGGUAUGACAUCACUAUUUUGUGCAAACCUGAGGUCGUGAGUUCGACUCUCAGUCGGGAGA